AAACCUUUUUGCUCCCUGAUGUUAGCGGCGGACGGGUGAGUAACACGUGGGUAACCUGCCUGUAAGACUGGGAUAACUCCGGGAAACCGGGGCUAAUACCGGAUGCUUGUUUGAACCGCAUGGUUCAAACAUAAAAGGUGGCUUCGGCUACCACUUACAGAUGGACCCGCGGCGCAUUAGCUAGUUGGUGAGGUAAUGGCUCACCAAGGCAACGAUGCGUAGCCGACCUGAGAGGGUGAUCGGCCACACUGGGACUGAGACACGGCCCAGACUCCUACGGGAGGCAGCAGUAGGGAAUCUUCCGCAAUGGACGAAAGUCUGACGGAGCAACGCCGCGUGAGUGAUGAAGGUUUUCGGAUCGUAAAGCUCUGUUGUUAGGGAAGAACAAGUGCCGUUCAAAUAGGGCGGCACCUUGACGGUACCUAACCAGAAAGCCACGGCUAACUACGUGCCAGCAGCCGCGGUAAUACGUAGGUGGCAAGCGUUGUCCGGAAUUAUUGGGCGUAAAGGGCUCGCAGGCGGUUUCUUAAGUCUGAUGUGAAAGCCCCCGGCUCAACCGGGGAGGGUCAUUGGAAACUGGGGAACUUGAGUGCAGAAGAGGAGAGUGGAAUUCCACGUGUAGCGGUGAAAUGCGUAGAGAUGUGGAGGAACACCAGUGGCGAAGGCGACUCUCUGGUCUGUAACUGACGCUGAGGAGCGAAAGCGUGGGGAGCGAACAGGAUUAGAUACCCUGGUAGUCCACGCCGUAAACGAUGAGUGCUAAGUGUUAGGGGGUUUCCGCCCCUUAGUGCUGCAGCUAACGCAUUAAGCACUCCGCCUGGGGAGUACGGUCGCAAGACUGAAACUCAAAGGAAUUGACGGGGGCCCGCACAAGCGGUGGAGCAUGUGGUUUAAUUCGAAGCAACGCGAAGAACCUUACCAGGUCUUGACAUCCUCUGACACCCCUAGAGAUAGGGCUUCCCCUUCGGGGGCAGAGUGACAGGUGGUGCAUGGUUGUCGUCAGCUCGUGUCGUGAGAUGUUGGGUUAAGUCCCGCAACGAGCGCAACCCUUGAUCUUAGUUGCCAGCAUUCAGUUGGGCACUCUAAGGUGACUGCCGGUGACAAACCGGAGGAAGGUGGGGAUGACGUCAAAUCAUCAUGCCCCUUAUGACCUGGGCUACACACGUGCUACAAUGGACAGAACAAAGGGCAGCGAGACCGCGAGGUUAAGCCAAUCCCACAAAUCUGUUCUCAGUUCG
rnacentral:rRNA from 1 species